rnacentral:rRNA from 1 species
ACGGAGGGUGCAAGCGUUAUCCGGAUCCACUGGGUUUAAAGGGUGCGUAGGCGGGCAGGUAAGUCAGUGGUGAAAUCUUUGGGAUUAACCCGAAAACUGCCAUUGAUACUAUCUGUCUUGAAUAUUGUGGAGGUGAGCGGAAUAUGUCAUGUAGCGGUGAAAUGCUUAGAUAUGACAUAGAACACCCAUUGCGAAGGCAGCUCACUACGCAUAUACUGACGCUGAGGCACGAAAGCGUGGGGAUCAAACAGGAUUAGAUACCCUGGUAGUCCACGCCCUAAACGAUGAUUACUCGACAUACGCGAUACACAGUGUGUGUCUGAGCGAAAGCAUGAAGUAAUCCACCUGGGAAGUACGAUCGCAAGAUUG